ACUUUAUUUAGUAUUUUUUCAUCAGUGUUCAUAAGGGAUAUUGGUCGGUAGUUUUUUUAUAGUGUCUUUAUUAGGCUUUCUUAGAGCAAAGGUAGUUCCCUA
rnacentral:pre_miRNA from 1 species